CGGUGGAGGUAUGUGGUUUAAUUCGAUGCAACGCGAAGAACCUUACCUGGUCUUGACAUCCCGGAGACCCUUAGGAAACUAGGGGGUGGCUUCCAUCUGGAAGAAUCUGGAGACAGGUGCUGCAUGGCUGUCGUCAGCUCGUGUCGUGAGAUGUUGGGUUAAGUCCCGCAACGAGCGCAACCCUUGCCUUUAGUUGCCAGCAGUUCGGCUGGGCACUCUAAAGGGACUGCCGGUGUUAAACCGGAGGAAGGUGGGGAUGACGUCAAGUCCUCAUGGCCUUUAUGACCAGGGCUACACACGUACUACAAUGGCCGAUACAAAGGGCAGCGACACUGCGAGGUGAAGCCAAUCCCGUAAAAUCGGUCUCAGUCCGGAUUGGAGUCUGCAACUCGACUCCAUGAAGUUGGAAUCGCUAGUAAUCGUGGAUCAGCAUGCCACGGUGAAUACGUUCCCGGGCCUU
rnacentral:rRNA from 1 species